UUCAGCCCAGAAUGUACUGUUACUACAAUAUAUCGUAAUUAUACUAUCGUUACUCACUGUCUAAAUGAACAAGGUUAUAAGCAGAAUUUACGUGUAAUUAUGGGUCGCAAUUAUGCAAAUGUAAUUCACUACGUUGUAUUUAACACGAAACUAUGUCAAUUAAACGCGUGAUGAUAGAACGUCCGUCAAUUCAUCGCGUGGCAAUAUAACGCGUGCUAAUAUAAUGCAUGGUAAUACAGCUCCUGGCGAUGGUAUCGUGUGGUAGCACACCGCGUGGCGAUAGUACCGCGUGAUAUUGUACAACGCGUGAUGAUGGUAACUUAUGAUAAUACAACGAUGGUGACGCGUGGCAGUUUGGCGCGUGGCGACCCUAAUUACGGUGUACCCAAUUUUUGAAUGGACUUUUUAAGAAAAGGGCCAAAUGUUCAACUAACAAUGCUAGUUCUACUUGAUUGCCUUGACCCAGAAAAUCUCUCAGAAAAAAAUGAAAGAUUUUUGGAGUUAUUUUUAAACAAAAAAUAAUUCCAAAAGGAGUAUUUAAGGUUCACAAAGAAUCGGCUAAUUUAAUCUUUGGAUCGACGCCCUUUCUUUGGAAUUCCAUCGUCUGGUGUGUUCGAAACGUCGAGUGGGUCGCCGGUGUCCCGUUAUGAGCAGAACGAGCGAUAACUGUAUUGGCCGGAUAACACGGUGCCUUAUUACCGUCCUGCUGCACCAGCCAGCCAUUAUUUAAAGGACGUUGUGUCGAUGUAGGUGAACGAUGCCUCUCUCGAGCACAGGCUAAUGCAUUUUUCAAAGGAAUUUCAAAGGUAUUCUCGUAGAAGCGCGAUGGCGGGUGUUGCUGGUCAGUUGGAACCAGGUUUUCGUGUCAUAAGGACAACUGCAUUAUUCAAGGCUGCAAUGGAGCGUCGUACAACCGGUCUGUCCCGAUUUUUAGAAACAUUGGUCCGGCAUCUUCGGCAAAAUCUUGGAAAUAACAGCAGGAGAUGUUUAAUAAAGAUGCACGUUUCAGAAUGAACUUCCGGUCUGUUUAUGGAGCAAAAUGGUUGCGCAUUAUUAAGCAUGCUACAAUAAUCCUGUUUGAUAACAUCCUGCAGGAGCAACAGCCACAAUUAUAAAUUCAUACUCGGCUCGCCUGUAACCACUAUGCAGAUCAUCUAUUAUAUAGGAUCAUAUUUGGAUAAGGCAACGAACGCAGGAUAAAUAAAUUACGUGGCUUCGACGGCAUGGAUGUAAUGUAGGUUAUAGCCGCGCGUAAUUACUCGCGAUUCAGGUAACCGGCUCGACUACUGUUGCGUCCCGAUCAACAGGGACAAGUUCGUCUUCCGCGUGUUUCCAACCGAUCUACCGUCUCGUUCCCAUUUGAGAUUUCUUCCUGCUUCUAUCUAUAGCAAUCGUACGCUCGAGGGGGCGAUAAACGGAUGUACAAAUAGCGGAUACCCGACAAAUCAACACCUCUCAUGGGACAAAAUUGGAAGUAAUCGAAAUAAGACAAAAGACUCACCAUUGCGUGUGGAUUCAGCGAUCGAGUAAUCCCCGUGAGCGACCUUGUAAUUAUGCAGAAGCGCCUGCCUCGUCAGUUCAGGAUCGAUUGUCCGUGGCUGAUGAGCUCUUGCGGUCCGACUGCUCGCCCACAGAUUCUUGUAACUCCUCGAGAUAGCAGCUCUACGACAGUUGUUCGUUUUGAUAACGGUAUCGCGAGCGACCGUGGAAUUUUUCAAAUUCCACCAGGAACACUUACGACGGGUACUGCAUAUUAUUUGGUCCUAUACAGUCCGCUGGAUCCGUAAGAGCAUCUCCCCAGACGUAUUUCAAGCCUAAACCACUACCUUCGCAUCUUUUGCUGCCGUACACGUGGCCGCACGUGCUGAUAAGGAGAAUCAGACCGAGGCUAACGAUCGGUCGUUUAUUGAUUCGAAAACCAGUAUUCAAACGAGACACGGUAAUUACUUUAAUUACGGCAUUAAUGAUUAUGGACCUAUAUACACGUAUUGAGGAAGGAAAGCGUGGAAAUUGAUUUGUUUUACGUAUCAAGAACACGUACGCACAAAAUGCGAUACUAGUUUCAUCUCGUAAGAUUGUUAUUAUUCAUAAGUACGUUAAUGAGUUAAUUAAAAGAUGAGGUAAAAGCGUUCCACCGCUCAUCUUUUAUAAUCCCUGUUUUAGAUGACAACCUGAGAAGAGUUCUGCUUCACAUUUUCAGUUCCAAUUGUGUAUUAAAACACGUACCAGUGAGAGGUUGUUAAAGUCGCUCACACAUAAAAGUGCACCUCAGGUCAAUAAAGAUUAAGCCGAUUAAAUCGUUAGCUCAGAGUUGCAUAGACUUGAAAAUGUUUUCUAUGCCGCUUUAUCGCGAUCAGAAAAUAUCUAAUCUCUAGGCUGGAAUGUAUAGAGUUCUAUUCAAAAUGGCAAUGUAUUUUUCAGGGUUAGAGUACCACUUUCCAGAUUCGAAUCUGGAUAAUCCAAACCUGUUUGCAAUAUACUUGCAUCCUAUUGCUACUAAUUAGACUGGUCAACGGUUCAUGAAUAAAACAAUCAAAGCGCUGAACUAUUAGAGGUCCGGGGACACGUUGUCACUGUUAGAGAACUCGGUCGUGGAACCUGGAGUUCGUAGGAGGUCAAGAGCAAAAGUAAAUGACACUGGCAGCGGACGAGAGUGUGACUCGUCGCGAAAAAAUCCGGCAAAUCGUCGCACGUACCGGUGAACCGUUUUGUCCGUACACUUUCCUCCACUUCUGAAAUGGCACAUGUGUCCAAACUCCGAAUGGAGAUUUAAAAAUUUAAGUAUUUGAGGACUCGAUGAUUUAGGGAUUUGAGAAGUUGCUAGAGAAGGAUUUAUGACAUUUGUAUUCAUUUCUACAAGGCCAUAUAUCGGGACUACGUAAUUAUGUCCUCUCACGAAAGUUUCCGUUUCGCAUACUGGUAGUAAUCCAGCUUUUUCGCUUUCAAACUUCUCCAACGAUGAAGACAAUGAGGUUGCUGGGUCUAUACGACUUCCGCUAUACGUACUUACACGUCGAAGACGAGUGAAAGCAACACGAUAUGGCAUGCGACUAAUACGGCUUGUUGCUCGAUUUCGAAUGAAAUCUUUGCAACUGAUGGAUUUUUCAACGGUAGAUCCUGUUCGUAAUGUUUAUUUGAUAUCACCGGAUGUUUGGAAGACUGGAGGGAAAAGCAACAUGGCGGAAGAUUGCGAUUUGAUGUCUGGCCAAGUGAUGAAUUACGCGUGGGAAAAGGAAAGGAAGAAAAUCAUUAAUGGUUGGCACUCAAGGCUGGUCAUUGGCCGUGACCGUCUGUUUCUUCAGGAAGCCAUGGACUAUUUUCAACGUUAAUCAUUUUUUUACCUAAUUGAAUCAGUGUUACAAGUCACGAUUGAGACCAAUUACCUAUUACUUGCUCGAAUACCUGUUCAAGACGCGUGGAACGGGAUAUAGAAAGAUGAUCGAUAAAGAUCGAGUCGAGCAGAGAUUGUAUGGAUAAGGAAAAACUGUGCUUCCGGCAGCCGGGAACCGAUUCCUCGUGGACCAUGAGCUCGCGUCAUGCGGUCGAUUCUAACGACAAACGUCUAUGGAGCGUUCAACAUACUUAACAAUCAGGAAGUAGCAGCGUUACCGAACCGAGAAUUAUAUCGUUCGAAAAAAUAGAGAAAGAAGAAACAUCGGAACGUAAUUUUGUGGUCAAAUAAAAAAGCCUUACGGAUAAAACCUUGUACCUCAUCUUGAGCAAUAACUUGGGAAUCACUCUGUUUAUUAGCUUAUUUCUUCCAAAUACGGAAGAACCUCUAUCAAGUAUUUCUGACGGAAACCAUUAUAUUGAAACGUAAAUGCAGGCGUAUGACCGGGAAACGGAUGAAAUAAAUGACUCGUGACGGAGAAUGAUCAUUGGAAGAUCGAUGCAGUAUUUAUAAUCCUUCAAACCAUGUAGAAAAUACAUACGUAAAUAUAUAUGUAAAUUCUAUAGUACACAUGCGAAAAUGUUGAAUUUGAUAUUCAAUCAUAAUUUCGUCUAAUUUAAAGAUAUUGAUAAAACGCUUAUACAGUCAUUUUCAGUAGAUUUUUACCUUCAAAUCGACGUAACACAAGCGCUACUUCGAGAUACUUUUAUGUCAUCAAAAUGUAUUAAACAGUUUUUGUUUAGUUAUAAUAAUCGGAUAAGUGCGCACUUUAUUUUUAUUUUAAAUCUUUGAAGAUGCUUGUAUUUUGUUAUUUUUGACUUAAAAACGUGCAACCUGUAGUUAAUUAUUAGUAUAUUAGUGCCACUUAUAUUUAUGUCUUGACCCUCACGGCACCAAUAAGUCAAAUGUCACUCACCGUGAGGAAACUGUGUGUCUUUUAACACCGUGCGUUUGAAUCCUUUUCUCGGUCCGAUGAAACGAUUGAUCAGUUACAUUAAUCGAAAGACACGAGGGAGCAGAAUUAAAACGAGGGCACACGAGUUUCUUAAACACCGUUCAUGUCACCACACCGGAUGUCGUGGGGUCGAACACCUCCGUCCUCACAGGUGGAUGUCCAGAGGUUGACUGUAGAAUCGUAAGUAACCGCUGUUCUCUGUGCUCUGCGAGAGUAGUCUGGAAGAAAGAGGGGAUGUGACUGAAGAAUAUCGGCCCCUGUUCCACCUCGAAACCGUUUUUUCUUCUACUUAUUGCAGAAAAAGAUCGAAGAAGAAACGAUUAAGGGUAAACUGGAACGACCUUCCUUUCUUCCAUUCGAAUUCCGUUAAAAGAUGUUCUUUUACAUUUGUUUAUUAUCUUAUCAAAGUCCUGCUUUUUUAAACCACAAUGCUUGCAGAGAGAUUCCACAAUAAAUAAUAAAUUGAAGGAAAUAAACAUGGUGCAACUAGUUGGAUUAUAUUCUCUUAUACUUGUUUAAUGAUGAUUGUAUUGUACAAAAUAUGGAUAUUUUUUUAAAUUAACAAUGAAUAAGUUUAACAGAUUUCGUGUUUCGAUUGGUCUCCUUCAACAGAAUGUAUGCGUGUACAAAAAUCCCUUUGACAUUGACAAAUUGUCGGAUUUUUAUCUAAAUUAUCAGCUUAGUAAAUUGUAUAUUUCAUUGUCAGUAUCCUUAUAACUAAUUACAAAGAAACCACCACAAUACGCUUUUAUUUAGAUUUAAAAACCGUACAUUGAUUACAUUUUCGCAAAGAUCCUCUCUCAACGGAUUUGCAAUGAUAAAAAAAAGAACACGAGGAUUAAUUAUGUAAUAGCGAUACCGUUUUGCUGAACUUCCUAUACGUUUUUAGGAACGAUAAAUGUACGGAAAUAUGUUACAUAUUGCAAUUAGACAUCCAUUAAUCUAUAAUACAGUAGCUAGUCAGUAACGAAGUAGUUCUCGUUAAGCCAUACUUCACGCGUUUAAAAUAAGCCGUGGAAUUUUACGAAACGUUUGGUACACUCAACGCAAAUUAAAAGUCGCAGUCUUAUAGAUACUAAGACAAAUCACGUGGAACUAACAUCACUUAAUUUGAAAUACAAUGCACUGCAAUUAAAGUUCCUGCAAUUGUUCCACGUAAUUUUACCAAUA